rnacentral:rRNA from 1 species
AGAAUCAACGCUGGCGGCGUGCCUAACACAUGCAAGUCGCACGAGAAAGGGGCUUCGGCUCUGAGUAAAGUGGCGCACGGGUGAGUAACACGUGAAUUAUCUACCUCCGAGUGGGGAAUAACUGAGAGAAAUCUUAGCUAAUACCGCAUAACACUUACGGGUCAAAGCAGCAAUGCGCUUGGAGAGGAGUUCGCGGCCGAUUAGUUAGUUGGCGGGGUAAUGGCCCACCAAGACUAUGAUCGGUA